UACGGAGGGUGCGAGCGUUGUCCGGAAUCACUGGGCGUAAAGGGCGCGUAGGCGGCGCGGGAAGUCCGUGGUGAAAGCCCGAGGCUCAACUUCGGGUCGGCCAUGGAUACUCCUGGGCUUGAGCACUGUAGAGGCAGGUGGAAUUCCGGGUGUAGCGGUGGAAUGCGUAGAGAUCCGGAAGAACACCGGUGGCGAAGGCGGUCUGCUGGGCAGUUGCUGACGCUGAUGCGCGACAGCGUGGGGAGCAAACAGGG
rnacentral:rRNA from 1 species